GCCUACGGCCAUACCACCCUGAACACGCCCGAUUUUGUCUGAUCUCGGAAGCUAGGCAGGGUUGGGCCCGGUUAGUACCUGGCUGGGAGACCGCCUGGGAAUACCGGGUGCUGUAGACU
rfam:Alligator mississippiensis ScZkoYb_334, whole genome shotgun sequence.